UGGGGAAUAUUGGACAAUGGGCGCAAGCCUGAUCCAGCAACGCCGCGUGGAGGACGAAGGUCUUCGGAUCGUAAACUCCUGUCAGGCGGGACGAAGGUUUCCGGGCGAACAGUCCGGAAGCUUGACGGUACUGCCAGAGGAAGCCCCGGCUAACUCCGUGCCAGCAGCCGCGGUAAUACGGAGGGGGCUAGCGUUAUUCGGAAUUAUUGGGCGUAAAGGGCGCGUAGGCGGCCCGGUAAGUCAAAGGUGAAAUCCCUCGGCUCAACUGAGGAACUGCCUUUGAAACUGUCGGGCUUGAGGCCGGGAGGGGGUAGCGGAAUUCCCAGUGUAGCGGUGAAAUGCGUAGAUAUUGGGAGGAACACCGGUGGCGAAGGCGGCUACCUGGACCGGUUCUGACGCUGAUGCGCGAAAGCGUGGGUAGCAAACAGGAUUAGAUACCCUGGUAGUCCACGCUGUAAACGAUGAGUGCUCGGUGUCGCGGGUAUCGACCCCUGCGGUGCCUUAGCUAACGCGUUAAGCACU
rnacentral:rRNA from 1 species